CAAGAUUUGUAAAAAUUAAUCUACAUCUUCUGACUGCAACUCAGACACUUUAAUUAAGCUAAAACCUU
rnacentral:tRNA from 1 species